GAAUAAUUACAGUUUGCUCUUUGAUGAGGAUACAACUCCUGGGACUCUCUGUGGUAGAACCCAAAUGGACAGAAGUAAUAAUAACAUUGUAGAAGAAAGCAGUUGGAACAGACACUGAUGGGUUUGGAGGUUUUGAUGUCUUUCUUCAAUCCCAUUCCAUUUAGAUUUUUGGGAAGGUGAAGCAGCAUAAUGGGACAAGUGGAGCAUUAUUCUUGUACUUAAGAAAUUUGGUGUUGAAUUCUAAUUGUGCCAGAAUUGCCUUGGGUUUUAUUAGACCUCUUGAAAGCUAAAUUUGCUCGUCUCCAUGAUGCUUUCUGUCUCUU
rnacentral:lncRNA from 1 species